UUGUAAGGGAAGAACAAGUACAGUAGUAACUGGCUGUACCUUGACGGUACCUUAUUAGAGAAGCCACGGCUAACUACGUGCCCUGCAGCCAGCGGUAAGUAAGUACGGUAGGCUAGCGUUGUACUGAUAUUAUUUGGUCGUAAAGCGCGCGCACGCUGGUCGUUUAAUGUAUGAUGUAUAAAGACACACCGCCUCCACCCAUCGAGGGUCAUUCGUAAAGAGGGGGACUUGAGUGCAUAAGAGGGAAGGAGGACUUCCUAAGCGUAUCGGUGAAUUGAGUAGAGAUUUGUAGGAACACCAGUGGCGAAGGCGACUUUCUGGUCUGUAACUGACACUGAGGCGCGAAAGCGUGGGGGAGCAAACAGGAUUAGAUACCCUGGUACUCCACGCCGUAAACGAUGAGUGCUAAGUGUUUGGGGUUUUCCGCCCCUUAGUGCUGCAGCAAACGCAUUAAGCACUCCGCCUGGGGAGUAGUGGUCGCAAGAAUGAAACUCAUCAAAAUUAUGACGGGGGCCCCCACCAGCGGUGGCAGCAUGUAGAUUUAUUUAGAAAGCAACGCGAACGAACCUCACCAGGUCUUCGACAU
rnacentral:rRNA from 2 species